UACUAUUCACAAGUUGAAUUAUCAGAAGCUUUGUUAUAAUCGACGAAUUUCUUUGAAAACCUUCUUCGAAAAAAAAAGUGAAUUUGGAUAAGAAACUUAAAAUCUGAUAUUUUAAUGGGGAAGUGAAAGGUGGCGUCAGAGGAUCAACUGCGACAACCUCAUUUUCACUAUGCAAACAGUUAGUCUUUCUCACAAGAGGGAGAGAGAGAGCCCGGCGUAGACAAAAAGAAUCAUGUGCUUUGUCUUCUUUCGCCGGAUGGACCAAGGUCGAACUAUGCGUGAAUGACUUGCCUCAAUGAGAAGAGACUUCUAUGUGACGUCAUUAUAGGUGAGAUAUCCGGGAUAAUAAAAAAACUGCGCAUGUUUCCACAGUUGUUGCGGUCUUACGUCGGAAAAGUUUUUAGAUUUUCUCCGGUGUUGCCCAGAAUGAAGGUGCCUCUGGAUCAUAGGCAGGUGAGUAAAUAACAAUUUUUUGAAUGAAUAAAUAAAUAAUAAUAAUUCGUUUUAGGUGUCUUAUUGUUCACCCAGAAAACGUGACGGGGGAAAGAGACAUUUUGGUCUAAGAGAUAUUUUGGUUUAAAAUGAUUGCCAUCAAUUUUUCAAAAUAAUUUAUCUAAAUCACUCCUAUGGCAAAGAAAUAAGGCUUGUCUCCGAGCAAAAGAUUACAACGUGAUCUUUCUCAUGAUAUGGGUAUUCAGAUUUUAGUUCUUAACAUGCGUGUAUUUCUCGAUUGAAAUUUCCUUGAAUACACAAUGAGUGAAGACAUUUUUUCAUGGUACCGUAAACUAAGUGCUGUAAAAUUGCAACUUUGUUUGCGACAAACUCGAAUAAAUGCGUUUUAUUUUGAUAUGCAAAGACAGUUAAGAAUCAUCUUUAAGGAAGAGAAGGGACAGCAAAUCCAGUACAGAAAGCGCUCUGCCACCACUAUCUGUUCAAGUUGAGGCCCAAUCGCAACCAGUAAGCGGUGAAGGCUGCUUAUAAACUUCUUUAAGGUAUUUUUAAGUCAACAUCCUUGUGGACAAAAGGUGGAGAACAAUACAGAAAGGCCGUCGGGACUUAUUAAAGGACGACCAUGACCGCCUGAUAGAGAUUUUGGAAUAUGUGAGAGAACACUGCGGCACACCUAGUGGAGCAGCUGCGAUAAUGGACGAGGGAAUUUCCAUUCCUACAGGCAGAGGGUGUCAUGAUAUGGUGAUUUAGUUUGAAAUACCAUUCUGAAUAAAGAGAAGUCCACGACUAUCGCUACCAAUGUAAUGGUAAAUUUUUACACCGAGAACGUACCAGAAAAAUAUACUUCGAGAAAAUUUAACAGGUAAAGUGGGGCGGCGUAACGUCCAAAGUCUGAUUCAAAAUAUUUACUGUCUGUAGCACAGAGCUUGGAGUGAUUUUCGCGCUCACUUUUCAGUAUAAUAUGUCUUACAUAAACUUUUACUGUAUUUCUUAAAGGCAAAAUUCAAGGGGCCCUUUAUACUUUUAUUACCUAGUUUUCUCAUAUUAUAUCAUCUUCGCAUGAGCUCCUUAGAAGAACUCCUUAAGCUCAUGAUCAUCGAGGCAGUCAAAGCGCUGUGAUUUUUCUUUCUUUUGAUUUUUUUUUCACUGGGCUCAAUGUUGGGGGCGGGGGGAGACAACUUAACUAAGAAUCAAACUGGGUGACUUUUCUAAAUCUCCUUCACAUCUGCAUUUGAAAUUACUUUACACGUUUUUCAAAAGUGUUUGAUUUUUUUAAAUUCUGCCAGGGAACACACGAAGCAUUACGUCACAAUCAUAUUUGAAUACUCUCUCGAUAAUCUCAUCUGAAUUAGAACGCGCCUACCAUCUUAAAUAUUUUAGAAGGAGGAAUUUAGACGCUUCGAGGUUAGGUUAUACGAUUCUGCGUGGAAUCAGAAAUUCUUUAUUUCAUAGACAGAUAAGUUCGUCGAAAAAUGAAAUAUCAGUUUUAUUCAAUAUUUAGUUAUACUCCAAAUCUCAAGUUUUUGGUUGGCAUGGGUAUUGAUAUAAGACAGGCGAUUAAAAAUUGGAUUAUAAAUUUAUAAUAUCUUGACGAAAAAAAUAAGAGCUAAAGGAUUAAUAUCAGGAAAUUUAAAAUAUCUUGAUAUGAGGGGAAGAGGAUUUUUUACGACGCGGCUUGUGAUUUGUAGCUCCUUCACGCCUCAUAACCAUAUGCAACUCUCACUUAGUCAAGAGGAAAUGGAAAGCAUUGUUACACAGGCUGGUUACAACAUCGACUAAAGUUUCCUGAAAGAAAAUAACAGACAAUGUAUGGAACAUCCACUUCAACCAACAGGGUAAAUUCAAGGACAGGUACAGCCAUAGCCACCAUGAAGCAAGCAUCCUUACCACUCCCAAAAUGCAUUGUGAGCUGCUCCAGAUGUCCAGGUGGUCCAGGGAACAAUUUAAACAUUAAUACAGUUUUGUCUAUUUAGAUUAAUUAUUGCUAAGUACAUCAUUUCACAACAAUGUACUUUAACAAGUCAGGUAUAUAUAUAAUUAAUAACACAAAAGCAAAUGCUUUCUGGUUUUAUUGCUAAUAGAGAUAUCAAAUCAAGAAAGUAUAAGCUUUUUUAUGACAAGUCAAAUUUUAGCUGAAGGCUUUUCGAGUUAUUAAUUUGACAAUAAAAAAUCUAAAACAAGCUAAAAUUCCAAGAUAAUUUA